rnacentral:rRNA from 1 species
UGGGGAAUAUUGGACAAUGGGGGCAACCCUGAUCCAGCAAUGCCGCGUGUGUGAUGAAGGCCCUAGGGUUGUAAAGCACUUUCAACGGUGACGAUGAUGACGGUAACCGUAGAAGAAGCCCCGGCUAACUUCGUGCCAGCAGCCGCGGUAAUACGAAGGGGGCGAGCGUUAUUCGGAAAUAACUGGGCGUAAAGGGCGCGUAGGCGGUCUAUCCAGUUGGGCGUGAAAGCCCUGGGCUCAACCCAGGAAUUGCGUUCAAUACUAAUAGACUAGAGACCGAGAGAGGAUAGUGGAAUUUCCAGUGUAGAGGUGAAAUUCGUAGAUAUUGGAAAGAACACCAGUGGCGAAAG